UUUUUUUUUUUGGUAAAUUUGUAAACGAAAUGAUAAGUGGACAUACAGAUUUUACAUAAUCUAAUAUUUCUCAAUUCUCAUAUUUUACCUCUUAUUUUCCAAUUCUCAUAUUUUCGAUCAUUUAAUUAAAUGAAUAUGAUAGACUAUGCAAUCAUUUAAUUUUCGCAUAUUUUCUCGCCUCCACUCGCCUACGCCCAAUCAUCAUCCCAAACUAUGCCUCUCUGUGACUCCACCCGCAACUACCCAUAGUCUUAGCAACCUCGACGUCUUCAUCAACAAUGUUGGUGAGAUGGUGCCAGUCAUGGUGUUUGUAAGGUUUAAUGGUAAGAUUGUGUGCGUUAGAGAAAACAUCGCAUUUCUCUUUCUUCUUUCGAUUUGAAACCCUUCUUUUCCCCACAAUCUCUCAUUCCCUCCCAACUCGUUGAAACCCUUCUUCGUCCCAAAGGAACCUCACCCUUAAUCUAUUACUUCUUCCCAUCUUCUUCUUGACCAAUUCUAGGGCAAGCAAUACUUCCUCAAAUACACACAAGUCGAAUCUAAUUUGGAAAGUAAGACAAUAUUGUCAAGACCCAAAGCCACCAUUCAGAUCAAAUCAAUUAGGGUGAUUGAUGAAGUCACAUAGAAACAUGAAGGAGGCGGCACCAUCCUCAUGAGUGAAACUAAAGAACGAGAGCAAGAGUUUGAGAAAGAGAUAAAACGUUAGAGAGAGAAAAGGGAGACCGACGAGGGAGAGAGAUAAUGUUAGAAGAGCUCUGCUUUGCUGGUUCAAACUCAACUAGGGUGGUUCAACACAAUGGUGGGGGUCCUAGCGUUUCUAGCAUGGGAAUGGUGGAGAAGGAGGCGAGGGGAAGGUGGCGAGGGAGAUGGUCCAAAAUGCCCCUUGAUACACCAGGGAACCAAAUUUUUAAAUGUCAACCCUAUUCUUAACCAUAUACCUUAAUAUUUGAUACUGUAAGAUUGCGACACGUCUAUUAAAGAAUAUUAUUUAAAAAUGUCAUGCUAAGGCUGUAAUUUGGAAAAUAUAACUAAUACUCUCCUGAAAUUGUAAAAGUGAUAAAUAUUAGGGAUAAACUAUCAAAAUAGUAAUAACAGGAGGUAAUACUUCAUACUAGAACAAAAUUGGAAAAAUCAUACAAAAUACAAGUACACCUAAUAAUUUUCGAGAAACGAGAACUCCGGCGAUGAGUCAAAUAUCAAAUAUAUGUUCCACGCCUGUCGAAUUCCAUGAUCAGUUUUAAGUUUUUCACUAAGUAUGAAGUGGCAUAUAAAUUACACUAGCAAAAUUACAACACAUAAGAUACACAUCAAACAAAAUUGAUAUGAAUUAUCAUAAAUCCAUCAAAAGUAAAAAAAAAGUACUUCUAUAUAAAAUUUACAGUCAAUAAAAUCCCGGGUGAUCUUUUCCAAUGUGAAACUCUAACACUACGAAAAAUACAAACAAUUAACUUGGGCCGUGGGGUCCUACUAUGUAUUUUAAGAGACUGAAAUUUGAAAUUUGCAAAUUCUGGGAUAAAACCACUCAGCAUCCAUUCUAUUGUACCGGGAAAGAACAAUUCAUAGCGCAGCACAGUGUGUAUCUCAAUUUUUUUUACUUACUAGCAUGUAACUUACUUUGGCUUCUUCCGCAUUCCCAUCCGCGAUUUAGCAAAUCUAAAAUUAUCAUUAAGUAUACAAAACAAAUGUUGGUGAUGAGAAAAAAAAAUCAAUGAAAGAAAACAAACAGGUAACCAAAGGAUACUCUAAACGCAUUCCCUCGCCAGCUGGAGAGGAGUGAAGAAUGGUGCCUUGCAGAUUGUUUAGAGCAUCAGCGGAGCUACCAACGUCCUGCACAUAAAGUUAGCAAUCAAUCUGGGAGCUUUACAAGAUGCACUUGUCGUGAUAGUUCACAAAAACCUCCUAAUAAAAUCAUGCAAAUCAAAUAUGGGAAUAACUAUAAUAUUUAGGUAAUAGUUUUAUGCAAUUUUCAACAUGGCUUUCAAUGCUUUCACAAGAAGAAGCAUGCUGACUGCUGAGUGAUAACACUCCCAAGGGUAAAACUUAGGUGCUAUUCUUUAGGUACUUUUCAUGUUGUUGACUUGUUGCCUAAUUAAAAACUCAACUACCCACUUUCUUAAUUCAUUAACAUAAUUUUUCAUUUUUUUAUUCAUGUCUCAUCAUAUGCAGUGCAAAAAAAAAGGACAACAAUAAAGAAACCUGGAAAUCAACAAAUGCAACUGGAGCCCCAUAUGUGCUCUGCAUCUUCAGUUUCAAAAAUCCAGGAUAUCUGAUAGAAGAUACAUACACCAAAAUAAAAUCAACUUCAGCAUCUACGGACUGUAUAGAUACGAAAAUAAUUCGAACAAUACAUAUACACUGACCUAGAAAACACUUGUAUUAGCUCUUGUUCAUUACAAGACGGCCCCAGAUUAGCUACAAAUAAAGUUGCACAGGGGAUUGUAUUUUGAGGAAUGUAAGGUAUUGAACACUUUUUCUGUCAACACAAGAUAUGAAAUAAAAACAAUUACUUGAAGUGGAAAAUGCAAUAAUUUUAAAUUAACUAUAGUCCUAGAUGCAAGAGAAACAAGGAAAAACAACACGGUUAGAUACAACAAUUUAAUAAAGCAUAAUAAUGUUGACCAGCCUAAUCCAUGUAAAGCAUAUAACUGAGAAACAUUGUACAGUUUAACCACAAAUUUUAAUAGUCUGGAAAAAAAAGAUUAUGAGAAAAGCAUUUUGAGUUCACCACCGAAAGAUUUAACCAUUUAGAACAGCUAAUAGAGGUAAAUAUCUUAAGGUGAUGCAAAAAACAGAUAGAUUGAGUGCUACAUAACACUAACCAGAUUUCCAUAUAGACCAUCAUUGACAGCAUUUCCAUCAGCACUCCCAUAACUUUUGCAGAAAACAAACAAACAGACAAUUAGAUGAGAUAGCAUGAUAUACAAAGGCAAUAGCCCAAAAGAAUUUCUCUUGUACUAUAAACACAUUAGUUAUUUUCUUCUAAUAAUAUAGAAUGAGUUCCCCAACAGCAGCUCAAAAUAAUUAACUUGUAAUAUUGAAAAAUGUGCUCUAUUUGAGUUAGAAGCAAUGACUUCCAUAUAAUAAAGGUGUGAUUAAGUAGUGCAGAUGACCUUUGUGCAGAUGGAUAACCAAUCGUGUUCAUGUUGAUAGAAGGAUUACCCAUUCCAGGCAUGUGAAUGCUGCUAACACCUGCUAGUGCCGAAGAGUGCAAAACAUGUGCAAUGUGAGAUAAAAGUGUCCUUUUGUGUGAUCAACAUUUAACUAGUCUUUAAGCAAGAGAUCAUCAACAUCAACCGCAUAUACAUAGAACAACAUCCUACACACUAAAACAAUCUAGCACCAUCUUACUUACCGGAAUCAGGAGUCGCCCAUGACGGUGCAGACCCUCUAGCUUUCUUAUCCGAGCCACCUCUCUCAUCAUCUGCUCACCAAUGUCAAUCAACCAUCACAAUUCAAUUCAAACCUCUUAAAAUGUAAAUGGGAUUAGGAAAAUAAGGUAAUCAAGACACACACACACCUAUCCGCGUUCGCUUAGAUCUAGAGUUGGAUUUGGCAAGAUCAAUAUAAAGAGUUGAAUUCUUUUCAAGAUCAAACACCAUCCCCUGCAAACCACAGCAAUCAAAAUAUUCAAUUCAGACACUGAAAACUGCUACUGAGCAUGAAAUGUAUGUAACACAAAAGAGCCUUACAUUCAGAGCAUGCAUUGCCAUUACUGCAGAUUGCUGAUUCAUGAACACAGCAAAAGCAAAAGGCUAUCGGAACAAAAAAUCACGUCACAGAAAGCAUAUCAGUAAUCAAUCAAUGCAAACACAAUUACAAGAUAAUCAAAACAGUUGAAAACGCUUUGCAGUUUGCAGAAUCGAUUAUUAUUGUACCUGUGAUGAAUUGGUGGGGCUACGAAGAUGCGAUGAUUCGUAACCAGGAAAUUCGCGGAAGAGGUUGUAGAUUUCGCGGGGUUUUACAUCUUCAGGGAGUCCAGCAACGAAGAGGGUACGGACCUCGUGUGUGGGGGAUUGAGGAAGAGCGAAGGAAUUGUAGAGAGGUUGUUGCUGGUGGUGAGGAACAUACUGCGGAUGCGGGAAAACGGUGCCGGGAGGAGGUGGCACCACCGUCAUGAUAGGCGGCGGCGGAGGUGGCUGAUAAUAUGAAUAAUUGAGAAGGGCGGGUGGUUGGGUUUGAGCGUAGUAGGCAGCCAUGUCGUCCAUCGGAGCACUAUUGCAGUGGUUCGGAAGCCCUAGAGUAUUUCAUUUCUCUCUCAACAACUCCUCUGUUUUUUUUGUUGAAUUGUUGUGCUUUUCAUUUUCUUGACAAUAUUGGGCUGGCCCAUUAGGGAGCUGGUCUUCCUUAUCUGGGCCUGGCCCACUGGGAGUUUUGCAGUGAAAUUAAUUUAACCUACUAAGUCUAGACUAUAGAUUGACCAAAAAAAAAUUCUAGACUAUUGCAAAGGAAAAAGAAAACUGAAUGAAGAGAAAAAUUGGAAGCAAGCAAUUUAUUUUUAUCUUUCUCUUUCAUGAACUUUACAAUUUAUAGUUAGGGUUCAACCCUUGGGGUGUGUAUGUGAGUUCAAUUUUGAGGAGAAGGAAAGGGAAGAUGGAUGCUUGUGAGUAGAGGCAGGCGGAGGAACAUGAGUGGGGCCCAUCGAUGUCACAAUCCUUUCUAUCUUUUAGAUUUUUAUCUUAAUAUUAUGUAUGUAUAUUUUUCUUAUGACCUUUGUAGUCAGCUUAAUAAAAUAGAAUCAAUACUAUGUAUUUUUUUUAUGGCCCACUUCCAAACACGUACACAAGGUUGCUCAAAUAAAUUUAUAAAUUUUUGUAAUUAGAACGUUAUUAUCGUCGCAUUGAUUCUUUUUUACAGUACUCGUUAUGGUAUGUUGGAGUGUUUUUACAUGUGCCCAUAUACCAAUACGUCUAUAAAAAAAAAAGGCAAACUUAAAAAUGUUGGUUGUGUUUUAAACCCUCCGGCGUCCCUGUUGUUUUCGCCCGCCGUCGUUCAUAAACGUGCCAGCGCUGUUUCUAAUCGUAGUUCAUGGGCAUCGUUAUCUGGUUCCCUUCAAGAGUACACUCUGUCGCCGCUGUAGCCCCCAAUUCUUUUUUCGUCCUUCAUCGUUUGCAUAAACCUUUUGAACCUUCCCCCGCCACAAGCCUUUUUUAUCUGAUAAGAAGCACUUCCGCAGCAAACCCCUUUUGGGGUUUUAAAAUUAUUCAGAUCUCUAUGAAAUUUCUACUUUGAGAUACAUGAAUUGAUAUUCUGGGUUUAAAUUGAUAUUUUCAUUCUUGGUUUCCAUUCAAUUGGUUGUUCAACAAUUCAGUCUGGCCAAUGUUUUCUGAUAACAAUUCACACGAAACAUGUUAGGCACAUGUGGGAAUUUAUGAUCACCUCUGCUAUACAGUUUCACUCAUGGAGGAUGGGAGAGGAAGAGAACGACAUCACAGACGAAGAUGAACACAGAGGAGAGGAGGAAGGAUUAGAUUAAUAUUUGCCCCAAAUCAACUUGAAAUGUUUAAAAUCAACUAAGGUUAAAAUCAAUUUGAAAAUCAGAAAGUAAACAUUUUCUAAAAAAAAUGUAUUUUAAACACAUAGUAAAACUUAUAAUAGAGAUAUUUAGAGGAUCAAUUUAACAACUUUAUAAGUUAAAAUGACAUGACACAUUUCCACACUUGGCAUUCACUGAUUGGGUAUAAGAGAAACAACAUUAUAACCCCCUCUCACCAACUAACAUGUAAAAGUUUGCCUUUUUUAUAAGCCAAAUAUCGUAAAAACUCAAGUAUCCCUUACACGUAGAUAUGAGAUUUUAUUAUAUAAUUAUUAUCGAAAUACAACAUAAUCAUAUAAAGUUCAAUCGCUUAGCGAGGAUCGUGACAACUCAUGGGGAGAUUACACCAUCUCUUUAUUCUCUCUUUGCUAGUUAUUGCCAUAACACAAGUACUGACUCAACAAGGGUAAAUACCCUCGUGCAAUUCCAGCUGCUCAGUUUACCCUGCAAUUACAACUUACUCACAAGUUAUAUUUAUAGACAUAGCUAGCUAGUAAGCAAGCAAGCAAUUUCUCUUGCAGAAGCAGAAUGGGUGAAUUUCGUGGAAGCAAAUCAAAAAAUUGUACGUAUGAGUGAUCGCAGGCUGUUUUCUUCUUUAAGAUGAAACACGGAAAAAAUCGCACACGAUCAUGUUUUUCCGUUCUUGCUUAAAGGGAAUUUGAAAUUGCGACCAUGCAAUUGAAAAACGCUGCUUUCUUGUUUUCUUUCAUUGAUUCAAAGCAUCUAAUUCAUCAAUCAAGAAUGAUACGUGUAGCACGUUGUUUUUGUUCAUUGAAAAACGCUUCUUUCUUGACAUUAUUACAAUAUAUAACAUUCAUAUCUAUCAUUUAUAAUAUAUCUCUAGUCCUCCCAAAAGUUGUACACAAAUUCAUGACUCAUGAGUACCUAUUAAAACAUAAUUGUUUUUUAUUACCAAGAUAUCCCCACAAUUGAUAACAAUGAGACUAAUCUUCUCGAAGCUUGAAGAUCAUAUUAAACGGAUAAACUCUUUUUAAUAAAUCAUUCUUCAUACAUAUUACUCUAAGAUUGAAUCCUCGACUAAACUUAAGGAGCUUAGUUAUCUACCAACUCAAAACUAUGACUAAAACGACUUUUAUCAAAUUCAAAAGAGUAAUGCAGGUUACAUUAACUUAAUAUUGUUUGUAAAAUUAACUACAUUAUGCAAUAAUAACCUCAAUUGCCACACAAAUGUAUAUCAUAUCAGAUACUACCUCCGGUCCUAUUUAUAAAAAUCAAAGUUAAAAAAAAUUUUGGUCAUUUCUAUAAGAACCAAAUGAAAGUUUGUGUUAUAUUAAUUAUUUUUUUUCCAAUGAUACUCUUAUUAUUUCCAACUAGUAAAAGUGUAUCAUUAAUUAUUCUCUCUCCUUCACACUCUUCAACACUAAGGUUAUGUUUGGCACGCCUAGCUAAUAAGCUAGCUAAAAGAUGAAAAACUAGCUGAAAACUUAUAAGCUAGUUGAAAGCUGAAAGUUGAUAAGCUAGCUGAAAGCUGAAAAGCUACGUGAUUGGAACAAAAGUGUUUGGUAAAACUAACUAUUGAACAAGCUAAAUUUGUAAAAUGACAUAAAAGGACAUACUUAUAUAAUUUUUUUAUAUUUAACAUUAAUUUGUUUUCACACUAAUACCUAUAUGAUAUUAAUAUUAACUUUAAAUAUUUUGAUUCCACUCAAGUUAUUUAUCAUCUUAAAAAUAUAAUAUUAAUUAUUACUUAUUUAAUUUUCUAUAUUUUUAUUAAAUUAAAUAUAAUAAAACAAAUAAUUUGUAAUUUGUAAUAUAAAGUUAAAUAUAAUGCACAGCUGCUUGUGCGUUAGUGUUGUGUGGAACGGUAUGCAUAUGAGAUAAGUGUGAUAACUGAUAAGUAAAUAGGUUUAGUAAAAAACAUAUAAGGCUAAAGGUGAAAUUUUAAUAAAAUAAUAAGGAUAAAAAUGAGAAUAUAUUUAAUAAGUUAUAAGCUACCUAAACUACUGAAAUAAGCUCAUUCACCAAACAUUUUUAAAAAGUUUUUAAGCUAGUAAAAUAAGCUUUAAGCUAGCUGAAAUAACAUGUCAAAAAUAGCCUAAUACUACUACAUUAGAAAAAAGAGUAAUUUUGGAAGUUUAUUUUAAUUUAGGACAAAUAUAAUGCAUUGUAACUAAUUGAACUACAUUUCUUAAACUAUGAGAUUUUUUUCAGUUUUUAUAAAUAAGACGGGAGGUAGUACCAUGCUAAGCUUUAUUACAAAUAUGAGGAUUGAUGAGGAAUUAAACAGCAACACCAUGUCCUAGCUAUAUCUUAUCAUGAACUUUUGUGCCAUACAUAAUAUAUUAUAUGAGCAAUUAAAUAUGAAAUUUAGAAGAAAAUAUAGGGUUAAAUGUUUUCGGUCUCCUUAAAAUUGCAAAUUAUUGAUUUUGUCCCCUUAAUUUUUUUUAUUAAUGUUAGUCCCUCAUUUAUAAAAAUGAUGAGGUUUUAGUUCUUUAUCCAUUUUAAUAUGCAUUUUGUCGCGGCUUUUUAGAAGGUUUAAACCGUCACUAAUAUAUUUUACGUCAGUUUUUGUGUAUUAGUGACGGUUAAAUUGCCUCAAAAUGCUCCACAUCAGAAUUAAAAUGGAUAGAGGGAUCAAAACAUGAUCAUUUUCAUAAAUCAAAGAUUAAAAUCAAUGAAAAAUCAAAGAAGACUAAAAUCAAUAAUUCACUAUUAAAAAAUAUAUUUAACCCAAAAAAAUAUAUGAAGUGAAUCUUCCAAACCUUUAUAUAAGUGACAGAGUAGCUAGUCUAUCAAUUAUAAGAUUAUACGUUUGAAAACAAAUUAAAGCUGGUGUAUCUAUCAAUUGGGUACCAAAUAUAAACAACUUUUUUAUAAGCGAUAGAUAUGGUAGUUUGAAUGGGAAAAAAAACCAAAAAGAAAACCCCUAUGGUAAAUGAAAAUAUACGGUAAUUAAUUAAUAAAUUUAAAAAGUAGUUUAAGUAAUUGAAUUUUACAUGAAUUUUUUUUUCCCACACUUGUCUUACUAGCUAAAUGAGCUUGCUUGCAAAUGAGCUUUGCUGUGCAUGUUAUUUGUAUGGCAGAGAUGAUGUGGCACGCCACGUGUGUUAAUGAGAACCAAAAUCAAACAAUUUUUCCCUCGUGUGUUAAGGAGUGACAAGGCCCUUGAGUCAAUUGUUUGAUUUCUAACGUUGUAUGAUUAGGGAUCGAUCUGGUAUUAAUUUCUGAUACCCAUUAGCCAUCUUCUCCAAAGUUUUGAUAUCUUUACCAUAAUUUUUCCAAAUUUAACAAAACAAUAAGAUUUUCAAUGUUCGUGGAGAUUAUGGGUUCGACACACUUCGAGGAGUGGUAGAAGUGAAGGAGAGGACGGGGUGGCUGUGGAGGCUUGAGGUUUAAACUGAAAUUGAGUUUCUGAAAAUGCAUCAAGAUGAGGAAUUUGAAUUGGGAGUGCAAGUGUUUAAUUAGUUUAUAAUUAGAUUACUAAUGAGAUAAUAAAAUUGAAGUGGGAAAAUGUUUGAUUUAGGUAUUGAUCAAAACACGAGAUCAGGCACAUUAUCUCCGCCGCACAUUAACACUUGACAUGCUCACCAUACCUCAUUUUCAAGAGAUAACUAAAAGCGGGGUUGGUGGUGGCAGUGGCGACAUUAAUAGUUGUGGUGGUGAUAGCGGCGGUGACGGUGGUGGUAGUGGCAAUGGUAGUGAUGAUAGAAGUUGCAGCUUGUUUCAUUUUCACUUAAAAUGAAAAUGAUUUUUUUCUUAUGUUUUGGUCAUAUUUUAAAAAAUGUUUUUGAAAAAAAUAUUUUCUAAAUAUUAAUCGAAUAUGUUAUCAGCUGUAUUUUUUAUUUAUAUUGAAAAUGAAAAUAGGAAAUGGGUCAAUUCCUACUUUACUAGUAUUUUUUUGAAAUUUACUUUACUUGGUAUAGUGAUAUCAAGGAAGUAAAAAUCAUUAAGCGGCUUUCAAGAUCUCAUUUUAAUUACCAGCUAAACAUACUAUUACUAUUGUCUUUAAUAAUGGGAAUCUUUUCAAUUGGUGCAAUUAACUAAAUUAAUAAAGCAUUAACCUAGACAGAAUCCCAACUAAUCUGACCCUUGUCAUUAAUCAACAGUUCAAAUUAAUUAAGUUAGAUCGAUGACCUCUCGUCAAUGAACAAUCUAUACCUAUUUUAAAAAUAUGUAAUAAUACUUAUGGAUCAAAUUAAAAUAGUUCCACUCUCUUCGUUCCAUGUGAUCAGAUUGCUUUCUCAUGGAAUAAACACUAUACACAUACAGAGCAAGCCUUAAUGCAUGUGCUUCUUCUUUUAUUUGCAAGUACGGAUGAAGUUGCCGGCAUUGACCCAUUAUAUAGGUGUUUUGAAAUAAGUAAUUAGUAAUUAUGUAUACACAACUCAUUUUCUUUUUGAUCAUAUCAUUUUCAUACAUUUUUCUUGUUUCUGCAUUUUCUAAAUAGAUCACAUAUUUCUCUUUUUUCUCUUCUUUAAGGUGAAGGGCUGAAAGUGGAAAUAAAUUGUUAACAUAACAUUAUUCGUUUAGAAACUGAUAAGUCACUCCGAUCAGACUAGAGACUAGAGACAGGGGCGGAACUUGGAGAGGACAUAAGGGAGCCAUGGCUCCUUCAAAAUUCUUAGAAAACUCUUACAUAAUGCCCAUGAUAAAAAAAAAAUGUUUCACUCAUAUUAUAUAUACUGUAAUUUGUAUACUGUCACACAAACUUCAUGGUGACUUGGUGGAAAGUCAUCAUUCCUCUCUUUUUUAGAUACUGGGUUCGAAUCCCGUAUAUGUCAGUAUUUAGGUUACUUUUUUCUGUUUCACUCCCUUAACUAGCUUUAGGUUAGUGUGUAGAAUUUUUAAAAUGUCUUUUUAAAUAAUUUUUUUUGAUAAUCUCUUUAAAUAUUUAUUUGUUUUCUCUACUAUUAUUUAAAUUUUUAUUUAAGUCAACAUUAUUAAUGAUAAAAAAAUUCAGAAAACAAAUUAUCAAAAGGUAAUAUAAAUUCAGUCAACAUUAUUAAUAUAUAUAUAUAUAUAUAUAUAUAUAUCAAGAAGGUAAAAAUUGAAAAAAAAUGAGAAGUAAGUUUUUAAUUAUUAACAUAACUUUUAAUAAAUUUUCAAUAUUCAUGUAUAUAAAUUUCAUCUUUAUUUUCUUUUGUAUGAAUAUAUACAUGUAUUGUUGAUAAAAUAUUUUAAUUUAUGUAUUGAAAUUUUAUUUCGGCUCCCUUAAAAUUUUCCUCCAAGUUCCGCCACUGGACAUGGAGUUCUUAAAAAUAAGAACUAGUUCUUAUAUAAGAAGUUUUACUUUUUGAGUUAUUAGCAUAAAAAAAUUAUUUUUUCUUUCUCAUUCAUCAACUUAUUUAAUUUAAGUAUUGAAUUAGAAUUUAAAUUUAAAUCAAAAUUAUAUGAAAAUAAAAAAUAUUACUAAUAUAAUGGUAUUGUGAGACCAGAUGAAUAGUGCUAAGAACUAAGAACUCAUGGUUGGAGCAAAUCUACAGAGAGUUGCUUAAGCACAUGUGGCACUACGUGCUCACAUGAAUAGUGCCAAAAAUUAAGAACUAAGAACUAAGAAACUAGCAUUGAAGAUGCUCUAAGUACUCUCUCCAUGGUAAGUCAUGGUUUUCUCUCAGUCAUGUUUGUUUUGUUACCAAAAUGAAGUAUAUGAGAUUCUGCAUCUGUGAUUAUUAGGUUUGGAUUUAGUCCUUGUGAGAGCGACCAUAGUGUUCAACACCUUGUACUGCAUUUAAAGAAGAAUAUUUUGACACACAUCAGGACAGUGCGUUCGUCUGUAACACAAUGUUCUGGAGAGCUUCUUGCGCAACCAAAAAUCAAUCCAAAUAGUGUAAAUAAAAGCAAUGUAAGUGCUAUUACUUUACGUUCUGGAAAAACAACUAACUCUCCUGCACCCCUUAAAAUUUUCCUCCAAGUUCCGCCACUGACUAGAGACCCGUUCAGUCACAUGAAAAUGAAAAAAUCCUGAACUGGUUGAACUGGUAUGCAUCGAUGCCUAGAAUCGGUGUUAUAGACCAAGUUAAACAAGUGAAUUUUUUGCAUUUUAAAAAAAAAACUAAGUAUUUUAACUAUUUAUUUUUUUAUCAUAUAAAUUAAAUAAGAUAGUUGAGGACAUAUGAGUUGAGAGGGGAGGUACAUGGAUUAAUCUUUAAAUGGUGCAAUUUAUCUUUUCAAUAUAAAAAAUAUAUAAAUUAAAUAAGAUGAAAAAUUUAUUAUAAUUGAAAAUUCAAUCAUUCUAAUUUUUUUUAAUAUUGUAUAUGAAUGUAUUACAUAGUAACUAUAGUUUAAUGAUGCUUGUCAAUGUGUGGUGCCUUAAAUGAUAUAGACCAAUAGAAAACAUAGAAUUUAAACUUAGAGGAAGAGGAUUAAGGAAGAUUUGGAGGUUCAAUAUAGGUGGAGAAUGAAGGAAGAUGAUCUUAACAUGGAAGAAAUUUAAAUGAUCUCUCGGAGUUAUAAGUUCAACUAAAAACCUUAAUUUUCAAAUUGUGCAUUACAUAACAUAAACAAACUUAAGAACUAUAUGUUAUUAAUUCAUCAAGUCGAUCAUAGAACUUUUUAAAAUUAUAAUAAUACAUACUUUCAUCUUUCUUUAACCAAAUAACAAAAUUAUAACUUAAAAUAUCAUAUGGAAUACAACACCAAAAAAAAAUCUGCGUACCCCAAAAUUCACCCAAUAUAAUUGUGGUUCAACUAUUAAAUCUUGAACUGAUGUUUCGACUAAUUCAUGAUUGGUCCGACUUUUUAAUAUUGAUUUAUAUCAUACAACUUGCAGCCAUGCAUGGAUAUUUGGAGGAAGCUGACUUUUAUGCCUCUUUCAGUGCAUGAGAGAUUUGUAAAAGGGCACGUGCAUACGAUUAUUUAGAAAAGUAAAUUUUAAACUCUAUUUUUAAUAAUGAGUUUGGAUCUCACUUGGAAACUGAUGCCAUUUUUUUGAAGAAACUUGAUAAUGGUUAUAGGAGUAGGAUUAGUAUAAUCAGAGAUCGGAGACCAAUAGUGUGCCUGUUUGGAUAGGAACUGAAAGUCCGUUUGCUUCUCUUGAAAUGUGUGUGCGUGAUUUCCAAAGUGCUCAAACGCGAAAGAUAAAAAUUGUUUCGCUUACGUUCACGUUCAAUCCAACAUAAAUACAAACAGACCAAGAGUCCAUUCGGCAAGGGGCUUGGGAGUAUAGCUUGGCAAUAAUCUCUUCUAUAAUUCUAUAAACAUGGUUCAUACUUGCUCAAUGUAAGUUGUAUAAAUAUGGUUCAUAUGUAGAUCAAUUGUUUAUUAAAUUACUUUUGUUAGUCAUUUUCUUUUAAACUGCUACAUUCGUUUCUUACUAACGGUUCAUAAAGAGAAAUAAAUAGGUUGUAGGCAUGUAAAGAAAUACAAUUAAUUUUUUUAAAAAAAAUAUAAUUUAUUAUUUAUUUUACCUUUUAUAAUGCAAGUUAUCUCUUAUUUUUUUAGUAUAAACAUUCGGUACUCGGUUACCAUUUGAAUACUGCCAGAUUCGGGAUUUAAUUAUAGUUAAGACUCUUCAUCCCUCCCCUAGAGUUUAUUGUAUGGGGAUAGAACCCGAUAGUUAUUCUCACACACUCAAUCUGAGCUACCCCUCUUAAGAAAAUAUCAAUUAAUACAUUUUAAAAUCCGAAGUGGACAGAAAAAAAAUUGGGAGAGGUAGUAAAUCACAAGCAAAUCCUUCUGAAAAUAUCAAAGAACAACAUCAAUUAACAACAUAAUAAUCAAGGAAAUUUUCUUAGACUCUUAUAAUAAUGUCACUGGUUCCCUUAUCCUAAGAUUUGCUGAAGAUUCAAAUGCACCAGCUCCAUAACUAGAACGACAAGAUGCAAUUUUUCUUUCCUUUUUGCUUUCUUGGAAUACAAUAUGAUGAGGUGAAACUUAGCAGAUGACACAGGCAUUAGGAUUCUCUUCCACACUAGUGUAAUAGUAAUGUGGCUGUCUCAUCAUCUGAUUCUGACAUGCUUCAUAUACCUUCGCAAUAUCAACCAUGUUCUGAUUAUGAUUCUGAUUCUGAUUCUGAUCGGUUUUCUUCUUCUGAUCCUCUGGCUUCUUUCUCUCUUCUUUCUUAGGAGGUUCCUUGGCUGGUCCAACAGAGAGUAUCUCAGUAUGACACAGCUUCCUCAGCUUACCCACCACUGCCACAGGGUCAAUGUCCCCAGUUAAGGUCAGUUUCUGCUCAUUCAUAUCCAUAGAGACUGACUCAAUCCCUGCAUAAAGCAUGUCAGUGUAUAUUUAGAAAUUUUUCUCCUAUUGAUUCUUAACUCAAAAUUCAUGUGGGGAGAGCUAGCAGCUUUUGAAUUUAAAAACUGAUUCUGAUGAAAGACAAGUUAACUCAAACAUGCUAUUUAUCAACUAUGUACAAAAUUACAAGGGGUUGAAAUUCCAUACCUGAAAUAUUAGAGACUUUCUUCAUAGCUUUUUUCUUAAUUUUGUCAUCGAGUAGUUCCACUUUUAGCACUACUUUCUGCCAGAGUGCAAAUAAGAUCGACGAGUGUUAGUUAGGACACUUGUAAUUUAAUCAAUCUAAUAAAGAAAAACACCAAUCUUCAAUUUGUUUUUCAAGAGACGAAAAGACAAGCCUAUGUUGAAAUUUUGACACGAGAUCUAAAGCUUUGAGUGUCAAAGAGUGCCAAAAAAUUAAAAUAAACAUAUAGAUUAUAUAGUUGAUCUAUGAUGAUGAAUGAAUGAUGAACCAUGCAUGGAGCUGGAACUGAAACAGAGCAAAACUAAAAUUAGAAGCUUUCACAAUAAAACUUGGAGGGGUGACAAAUUCUUACAUUCAUUGAUGUGACGCUGGUGAAAAAUAAGGGAAGUUUUGUUUUGGAAGUUCUGGUGUAUGGAAGUUCAGUUGGUUGAAGGUAUUUAAAGAGAAAAAUAAUAAAGCUACAGAGACUAGUGUGUGAGAUAGCGAGAUAGGAAGUCAACCCAAGUCUAUAAUUAUGAAAAAUAACAAUGAUAUAUUCACACCUCAUUUUUUAUACAUUUCAUUUUCACAUAUAUUAUUUCUAUUUUUCUUCUCUUAUUAUUUAUCGCAUCUUAUACUUUCUCUCUCUUACUUUUUCUUUUAUUCCUAACUCUCUCCUCUUUAAGAUGUGAAUGAACGAUUAUUCUUAUAAAAAAUGUUUAUAGGAAGGCUAGUGUUUUGUUUUUUUUUUGGUAAAUUCUUUUCUUUUUGGUAAAUGACUAGUGUUUUGUUUAUGUAUGAAACAAUCAAUCAAUCACGUGCGUUAAUACAUAAAAACCGUCAUAAAAAAUUUAAUAUAGAUUAAUUUCACAUAUUUCAAUAAUAUUGGAACUAAAAGCUAUAACAUCUUUUUAAGGAACCGAAUUCAAUUCAUAGGAAUUAAAAACAUGGUUAACCAUUUACUUGUUUAUUUUUGUCAAAGUGCCACAGCCAAAAUAAAAUUGAAGCUAGGUGUAAAGGGGUCUCGCAAUCAAGAGCGUGUUGACCUUUGUUGGUAAUGGAUUAAGUGUGUGUUUGGAUUUCCAUGUUAAAUUCAAUGUAGAUUCAUAUUGAAAAUAACCUGUUAAAAUUAUGCAUCUACAAUUUAUGUUAAAUUUAAUGUGACGAAUUUCAACUUCUUUGAAAUACGUGAAAUCAAAUUUACUACUACUAACCUCUCUAAGAGCAUCUUCAAUGGAGUCCUUAUUUUGGGACCUUAAAAUAAGAUCCGGAUCUUAUUAGAUCUCACCAUUAGAGCUAUCCUACAUGGCAUGAGAUCUUAGCAAAAGCUAAGAUCCGUGCCUUAGCUCAGGUACUCUCAAAUGUGAGAUCUUAAAUAAAAUAAUAUUUUUUUUCUCUCCUUCAAUACCAUAAUCAAAGUGAAAAUUAGGGAGGAAAAUAAAUAAUAUAAAAUAUAUUGAGUACUGUGGGCUCAGACAAAAGUAAAAUAAGAUAUCAACCAUUAGAGUAAAAUGUGUAUGAAGACCUUAUGAGUGUCUUAAAUCCUAUGUGGCAAUUUGGGCCCACAAAAAUUGAGUUAAGUCCCAAAAUAAGUUUAUACCAUUGGAGAUGCUCUAACAAGCUUCUAUGCUCUUUGAUUUUAAUAUAUUAUCCAUUUAAAAAAAAAACCCUCUAACAAUAAACAAAGAUAGACUAAGUGAUUUAAUGCUGCACAAGAAAGUGCAAUAACAACAUACGAAGAGGAACAAAAGAAACACACUUUAGCCAACCAACAAAGAAAGAAAAACAGAAUUGACAAGAAAAGGCUAGCAAAGGAACCCCCUGGAGAUGGUUAUGGCCCAUCACAAUUAAGUGGGCCCAGCAGAAAAUAUCUAUUUGAUAUCUGAGGCCCGUACUCAUAGCUUUUGGUCCCACUAAUCACCUCAUGACGGAAGGGAGAAUCUUGGGCCGAUGGGUUUCAGGCACAAACCCUCCUUAACACGUAAGUAACGCCUUCCCGUGUCGUUUUUGUUCAGCAACCGACUCUUUCCUAUGUCCUUCAUACUUCACAGUUUUCAAUUAUUCUAUAACUAUUUUGUGGACCUUGGACUUCCUUUAAAUAAAAAAUAUUGGUGAGAAAAAGUUGAAGUGAAGUUAUAUCUGAAAAUAUCGUAUGAAAAUAUCUAUGUUUAUAGUGCAACCUUAUUUUAAUAAUCUAAAUGUGAUAAAAUAUCUUAAUUUGUCACAUUUUAUAUUCCCAAUCAAUUUUGUUAGCUUUAUUAUUUUUUCUUUUGUUAGCUUUAAUAAAACAUGAAAAACAAGAUAAUAUCUAAAUUAACAUGGGUGCUUCAAUGGGGAUAAAUUUACCCAUUAGUGUGUUAAAUCUUUCUAAUGAUUAUUCAGCAAUUUAAACUUAAAUUAUUAUUCUUAUUAAGAAUUUAAUUUGUCUAUUACUAAACUAACGCAUCGAGCAUGUUUAGGCUGUGUUACUUGUGGUAUGAAAAAAAUCAUAUUUGCACAAUUUUCUUUUUAUCCUUUUACAUGAUUGGAAGUUCACAUGGCACUAGCAGGAAUUGUAUCCCUUGGAGGAAAUGUGACAAGGCAUAUGUUGUAAAGAUAUGUGCUUUUGACUUUGGAGAUAUUUUGUUCAAAAUGCAGUAAAAAAUGGAGUGGUAAUUAACAAUAUGAUAUUGAUUAUUUUGUUUAUCUUAACGACUUUAUUCAUUAUCUAAAAUUUCUAAUUUGUCCAUGCAUGAUGUGUAAAAAAAUAUGGAAUAUCCAUUAUAAAUUGAAUUGCAAUUAAUAGAAAUAUUUAUCUCAAACAAGUUUCACUUAAAGCAAAAAGGUAUAAAAGAAGAAAAACAUUUUUCACAAUUGAAACCAACUAACUCUCAUGCUUGUACUUGUAAGAAAAUCAACAUUCCAAUAAGUAAAAUCAUUUAGAGCAAAAGUUGGGUCACUUUUUCCAUGAUACAUUGCCUCCAUCUCCAUCCUUGUAUUGUAUAUAUAAAAAAAAAGACAUUAGAAAAUAGUUAGAAGGAAGAACACCAAGCUUUAUUAAAACGCAAACCUAGGAAAAUAAAAACACUUGAUUUGUCAAAUGUUAUGGCCAGCAAGGAUUGGCAGUUGUAAAUACUACUUUAGAUUCUGCAGUUAAAGCCAUUUUCUUUCUCUUUGAAACCCCACGAAAAUGGUGUCAGAAAACCCGAAUGCUUCAGAGGCUAUAUACUUGGAACCCUUAGCAGAUUCGGUGGAGGACCCUGCCAAGAAGACACGCAAACCAUUCACCAUCACCAAGUCUAGAGAGAACUGGACCGAACCUGAGCAUGAUAAGUUCCUUGAAGCUCUUCAACUGUAAGAAAAUGAAAAGUUUUCCUUUUUUUUCAUCUUCUUCUUCUUAUUUUGUUCUCAGAAUGUAGUGUGUGAAUUUUGAAGUUCAACUGAGACAUGGGUUUUAGUGGUACCCUUGUGUGUGUGUGUGUGUCACUGUUUGAGUCAUGGUUUCAGGAAGCUACUUAUGGAGAAUUUUCACAAUUGUUUGUCAAGGACUGAGAUUUUGGUAUUUCAGAUUGGUUUGGCAGGGGAAGAAUAAAAGAUGUUAGGAAUGGUCAAUGGGGAGGGUAGAGUUUUAUUACUACUGUUAUCAACUUAUCAUUGUUAUUUGGUGAUUGUUGUCAAAAUACACUAUGUGAAUCAGUGAAUGUGAUCAAUUCAUUCUUUUUGGGGGGGCUUCUUAUAAUGGUUGAACUUAGUUUACUAUUCCUAAAUGGAAUUUGCCAUUUCAAAUUUAAGCAAUUUGUUUGUUUUUCCUUUUUCCUGGUCUUGGUGUAACCAUUUAGCAUCAACUCAUUGUUUUUUUUCUUUCAUUUUGGAUCCAGAUUUGACCGUGACUGGAAAAAGAUUGAAGCUUUUGUUGGAUCAAAAACAGUUAUCCAGGUAAUUUCAAGUGCAAUCGUUGAUUAGAAAUUGUCAUAAGCUGUUACUUCUGGGUACCAUUGGCCAUAAAUAUUUUGGAUUGCAUUAGUUAUCUUAUAAUUUAUGGAAUCAGAAUGUGAAUAUUGGUUAUGUUACAUUAAGGAUUUCAUCCCUUGCCAGAUAAAGUGUUGGAUGCUGGAAAUGAAAUGCCAAAAAAGGAUAUUUCCCUUUCUCUCCCUGCCUCCAUUGCUAAUUGGACUGAUUUCUUGAAAACCCUGAUACAUAUGACUUUUCCUUUUGUUUGGUGGGACUAAAAUUGUGAAACCUGAUAGUCAUAUUCAUAUACCAACUUGCUUUUCUUUUGAGGAAAGUUCCAAUAGCAUUCAUUUAAGAUUAACUUAAGCUAUUAUGCGGGUUCCAUGUGCUUGUUAUACAAGGAUCAAAUCAUGCUGUGACUUUUAAGUAAAGAAAGUUGAGGACAAAGAAAGCAUUAAGCUUUUCAUAUUUUAAAUUGUGGACUAAGCACAGGCUCAUCAAGCCUCAUGCUGAAAUGCAAUUUAGUUUAGAAGAAUAGAGAUUAUAAGGAUUAAACUCAUGAAUAUUUAGUCACAAAAGUUUUUGUACCAAGUCAAAGAACCAACUAUCCUUGGUGUUUACUGUUUAAUAUGUUAGUUGUAGCUUUGGGAAUGUAUUUAUCGUCUAACAAGAAUGAUGCAAAUUUUCUUAAAUGGGAUACCAUCAUUGACUAACAUGAAAAGCAGACUUCUUUUAUGUUGUUAAAAGAAAGAAACAGUUUCAUUGGGGAAUAUUUUAGAAUAUCUUUUAAAUGUCUGUUAGUUGAGUGCUUACAGCUUAAUGGAUUCAAAGAUGUCAGUGCAUAUGACAGUUGGGAGUUGUUAGGAUUUCUAUUACUUUUUCAUGUGCUUCAAUGUUUAAUGGAUGCCUCAAGUACCCAUAAGAAUGACUGCUGAUUUUGUAGAUACGUAGCCAUGCACAGAAAUAUUUUCUUAAAGCUCAGAAGAGUGGGAAAAGUGAACAUCUUCCUCCACCCAGACCAAAACGAAAAGCGGCUCAUCCAUAUCCUCAGAAAGCUUCCAAAAACGGUUACAAUCUUCACCAUAUUUUGUUUACAACAUAUUUUAGAUUAAUUGUAUCUAAUGAUUGUAAGUGAUAUUUGACAGUUCCAGUACUCUCGCAUGUUUUAGGAUCCUCUCAAUCUUCAUCUGCUUUGCUUGAACCUGGAUCCAUCCCCAAGCAUGAAUCUUCGCCAAUUCUUAAAACUCCUAUACUUAACACUUCAGUUUCUUCCGGGUCAAACAACACUUUGCAGACAACAGCCAAUGUAUUACAUGGUACUGAAAAUUUAGAUUUUAUAAUCCUGGAAUAUAUUUAUGGAACUUGUUUGGAUAGUUUUCGUAUGAUACCAACUAGUUUGUUGUGUUUAAAUAUUGUGUGUUUUAGGUCAAAAAGUGAAUAAUUGUUGCAGCAGCAAUGAAAGCACUCCUAGAGCACGCGUGGUUGGUGAAUCUAAUGGUCAAGGAAAUAAUAACCAUCCAUUGAAAGGCAAGGGUUUAAUGAUUUUCCUUUCUAAUUUCAGUGCUGUCAUCUUUGAUUGUUACAUUAAAUUUGAUGUGUGCAUGACAAGGUUAUGGAGUGUUGUUGUAAGCAUAAUUUGUGCACAACUGCAUAUUUCAGCAAUUAUGUUAUUGCUUUAUAGUGUAUUCCUGUUUUAUUAUCAAGAAUAUAACUGUGUUGGGUCCAAAGUAAGUAUGGAGUCUCUUAAUUUCCAAUCCCCUUCUUGGACAUGAAUCUUGAUUAUCAUCAUCUGAGUCGCCAAAAUAUUCAUUUGAUAUUUCCUUGAUGGUACCUUCAAUUUAUGAAAUUUGAUACGCUUUCGUAUCUUGAACAUUUUGUUAUUUUAAUGUGUACUCAACAUGUGGAAGUGAUGUCUGUCCUGUUUUUCUUGUUCUGCGACUCAUUUCUUAUGAGAAUACCCAGAAAGCUGUCUUAUCCUCAUAGGAGUUUUACAAACUCCCACCUACUCAUGUCAAUAUAGCUACAUACAUUCGAAGUUAUGUGCACAUUUCUGCAAUAAUUUUCUUUUCAUAGAAUUUACGCAUAUGAUUUUUGUAUCUUUUUUAGUAUUUAUUGUUGUCUCACUGUUUUCCAAUGUCAAUUUAAUUUUCCCCUCAUUUGUAAUGCAGUUCUUCCUGAUUUCACUCAAGUAUACAGAUUCAUUGGCAGUGUAUUUGACGCAAAUGUAACUGGGCAUCUACAGAAACUUAAAAAGAUGGACCCUUUAGAUGUUGAGACGGUAUGUGUUUGUGUGAUUUCUUGCUUUGAACUCCCUUAAGACAUUAAAGCAUUAUUUCUUGCUUUGAAUACCUGUGUUAAUUUGUGUCAACUAGUACAAUUCAGAAGUUCUGAGACAUUUCUUCUUUUUAUGACCUUGAAUAUUUUUAGGUGCUGCUGUUGAUGAGAAACCUGUCUAUCAAUUUAACAAGUCCAGGUUUCGAGGAUCACGUAAGUAUUCAUGCCACUGAUCUUUGGAUUACUUAAUGCAUGAACCUCACCACUAUUUUGACCCAACAUCAAAUUUUCUCUUUAAAAGAACUUGUUUAAGGAUCCUUACUCCUUAGCUUUAGAAGGCCGUCCCUAUAUAUUCCUCAUCUUUUGAAAACUGUCCAUCUCCGACAAAAGCAUCUUAUGCAGAUUGGAAAUUUCAUCUUCAUAGAAACUUGAAUGACUAAAUUAGACAUCAAAUUGCAUGACCAAUGAAAGAAGGAACAAUAAUAAAUUUCAUUUAUAUGUGAACCGGUUGUAAUUCAUGCAGAGAAGGCUGCUCGCGUCAUAUGAGGUGGAACCCGAGAUAGAUAAUUAUAUCAAUGUAGAUCAAGCCAUGCAUGAUGAGCAGUUGAAGAGUGCUACUUAGAUGGAGGGGAGGUUGAAUAUAAAAUUGGCUGUUUUUCAUGCAUUUCUGCAUGAUGAGGUAAGAUGCCUCGGCAAGAAAACAAGCUGAGAUUCCAGCAACAGUCUUAUGAUCCUGCUCUAAUUAGUGGCUUAUGUUGCUCAUCGAUCAUCUCAGCUUAACAAGGCUUUUGAUUCCCACAAUUCGAUUCGGUGAUGUAUAUAUUAAUGAAACAUAUUAUAGAAGAAAAUAAUAAUGCUGGACUCUAUAGAUUUCAUAUUUUUGUAAUAUCCGAGACAGUACUAGCAAGUUGAUGACUUUGUAAACAAUAUAUACGUUUGUUUGCCUUAGGAAGGGAAUGCAAUUUCAAAAAGGAUGUAAAAUACUUCAUAUUAAUGUAGUGUUUAUUCUAUUUAAUUGUGUUUCUAUUAUUUGAUAAAAAUUGUUAUUAGAUUACGGAAUUUGGCUCUAAAAUAUAAUUUUUUACUAUAACUCAUUAUGUUGUAGUAUAUAGUUCUUCUACUAAAACUAUAACAUGUAAACAGUAUAUACGUUUGUUUGUCUUAUUCUGAAAUUUGUUGAGAAAAUAAUAAGGAACGGAAACUAAUAGCAAUGUUUACAGUGUAUAACACAGCAAUAUCAAAAAAAGUCUCUGCAAUUCAACAUUUCACGUCCUUGUUGGAAAAAGUAGUAUGCACCAAAUCUUUUGUCAACUGUUAGCCUUUACUGUGUGUCAUAGUAUGAAGUUUCAGGACAUGAAAUUUCCAUGUAUCUAGGAGAGAUCUAUUUAGUAUUUACACAACUUCAUUACUGUUUCAACAAAAGUAUGAGAAAUCUGUGCAGACAAUUGUGAUCUUUUUAGACUUUUUCAGACCAAUAUUCCAUCUACAUCCCAACAAUUGCUGGCAGUGGUUCAAAGUCUGCUACUGAAAACCUCCAACAUAAGGGUUCCAGUUCCUUGCGCUAUCACCAUGAAGAUCUAACAAUGAGUAGUUGACAAGAUCUAACAAAAUCAGUAACUAAAACACCACAUAAAUUUCAUUUCUAAAAUGACUCAUAAAAAACAUUUGACAAGUGAUUUCUUACCAAGACUCGGUGGUCUUAUGAAACCUCCAUAGCUCGAUUCAUGAUAUCCUAAGCAACCCUGCAUUGAGUUUAGCUUUUGGGUGCAACAAGUCAUGCGAGAUGCAGGCAGGUGUGGUGGAACUGGAACACCAGUUUGUGGUUCACACAAUGAGCUGAGAUUAAGUUUGCUUGGAUUUAUCAUCUGCUGGAAUUUCGAUUGACCGACUUCAUGAUCAAACCUUCUCAUGUCAUCUUGGGAAAGAAGGAAAGGUGGAGAAAUUGAGUUGGAUGGGAAAGGGUGGGAAAACAGAGAAAAUGUGGGGGAACCAAUGAAGUUUUCUUGAAAACUGUUAUGACUUUGUUGACCCCUUCUUGGAUUCAACUGAUUAGAACAGAGCUGAGGGUAAGGUUGCUGUGCAUGCACAGGGGGGUAAAAGCCCGUUCCAGCUCCAUGAUGCACUAUAGGAUCAUCAAAAUGUGGUGCAGGAGUACUGUCAUCAUCAUUGAGUAUGGACUCCACUAGCUUUUCGAUCAUCUCAUGAGGUGAUCUUGGACUGAACCCAUCAGCUUUAUUUGGACUUGUUUCAGGGUUAGACAUGAAAUUAUCACCCACAGCCGAAUUUCCCACCUCUGGCAACAAGAAUGAUCCAUCAAAUGCAAUUAAACUGUCCUCAUCAGGCCAGCAAAUUUCAGAGCUAGAAUUUGAUUCUCCAUCUAAGCUGUUGCAGGAAGAAUUUAACUCCAACUCCUCCUGAGAUUGGAGAUCAGGGUUGCAUCGAUCUUGCUUCGGGAUGACUGGAAUUGCUUGCUUGACAUCUUGCAAAGACAAAUUACUUAAUUGCAACUCCACGGUACCUUGCUCAUAUGCCACUCGACAAAGGUUUUUCUUGAAAUUUCCGCAAUUCUCUUGGUUAUGGAAGCUUGUUGGUCUACUUUUCUUUAGAGAUUCCAUAACUUGGCAAGUUCCUAUUGGAUAUUCCACAUCAAAGUUUGAACAUUCUUCAGACUUCAUUAGGUGAUCAGUAUCCAACGCUGAAAGAUGACAAUAUGUGUUUAUAUGGUUUCCAGACGACUGCCAUGGAUUUACUAUUUUAUCAGUAGUUAAAUCUUGCUGCCUUUGUGUAGAACAACUUUUAGUCAUCUCCGGCAAGGUGGAUGGAUGAACAGAAUUGCCUCUUACAGCUCCUUCAAUCAGACUUAGUUUCGAUGAAGCAUCUAAUUGCUCAUUGAUCAUAAGAUUGGAAAUAAACUGCAAGAUAUUUGAAUUUCUUGUUGCUGGUGUCAUCAGAAAUUCCUCUGAACGAUCCUUCGAAUCUAUGUUUUGUAUAGAAUUCCCCUUGCCCUCCUCCACUUCCCUGACUAUAUCUGCACAUGAUUUCUCUUAAUGUAAUGUUAAAUACUAAAAUUUAUACCUUCCAUUUCUUUAACAUUCUUUAAUGGUUUGUUUUUUUAUCAGCUCAAAGAAGCUGAACAGAAUUGGCUAGUCAUGUUAUAAUAGGAAAAACUAUAUAAUAACCUUGUGGUUGACAAAUUGAAGGCCUAAGAAGACAAUAAAGAAUUGAAAAGAGAUUUGACCUUUUCUCCAACUUUCCCGUUCUGUUUUCUCUUGAAUUGUUCCCUCAGAAGAUACAGAUGUGUCACCGUUAAGCAAGACAUUGCUGUCUCUAGGUGGAGGUAGUGCCUGAAAGAACAGAAUAUUAUGAAACAAAAUUUUGCAUGCCUAAGUCUACCUUCCUUUAUGAAAACCAUAUUUGUAGACAGACCUUGUAACGACAUGGAGGCCGAUACGGUUCAAUAGUCCUAUGGAGCUGAUGAUUAGCACUGUCUACAUCUAUAACCCUUGGAGAAAUUUUCUGAGGCAUGAUUUUCUGAAGUCCUGAGUCUGUGUUUCAAAGCACAAAUUUCUUAAGUUAAUUUUAUCAUAAUCCACAACAUGCAAUGAUGAUCCACACAAUACACAUUAAUGACAAGAAGAUUAUCAAGCAACAGAUUUUUCAAUAGAAUUUGAAAAUCAAACAUUACACACCUGAAACACAAGUAGGCACAGAUAGAAUUCCAGGUGAAUCUUGAAACACACUGUUCAAGAAACAGGCACAAAUUAAACAACCUACACAAAACAGCAGAACAAUACGCAUGGAAUCUUAUAAAAUAACAAUGUAGUAGAGUUUUCCUAACCAUGAAAUUGAGAGCUGAACCUCCUUCGGUAAUUUCACCGCAUUAGGACAAUCUGCUUUUGAUAAAGAGAGAAGAAACUCUCUCGAGUACGAAAUUUUCGAUCGCCUGAAAAUACCAAAUCAAAAGGUUCUUGAAUCACAAAUUCACAAUCACAUUGAAACAGAACAUCACAUGAAGCCAAAUUCAUCACAUUUGGCAACAGAGUGAAUCCUCACCAAGCUAAAGCCUCAACUCAUGUAAAAAUCAUCAAAAAUUCAAGUAUUCAACAGCGUUCAAACAAUUUUCAAAUCAUAAUUAGGGGGAAAACGUUACACGAUAGUGUAGUUGACUAAACAAAGAUUCACCGUAACAAGAAAUUACUACAGUGAAUCUUCACCAAGCUAAAGCCUCAAUUCCAAUAUUCUACUGCAUUCAAACGAUUUUCACAUCUAAUUGACUAGUUUCUCAGCCGCCAAACAGAAACAAAGAUUCACCGUAACAAGAAUCAAACAAUAAGAAACUACACUAGUUCAUGAAACCGCACUAGCCUAAAACAUGCAUUAACAGUAACAAUCAAACUCAAAAUUCAAUGAAUCAAAGCUUACUUGUUAGAAUCUUGAGACGGUGGAGCAAAGACAUUCGCGGUUCCAUUUUCCUGGCUCAUUUUCUCGAGAAAAUCCUCCGUCAAAUUUAGCGUUGACUACUCACAGUGUUUGAAUUUCUCCAAGAAACACCAGAACAGAACACAUGAACCGAACCUUACAACAAUGCUGCUAGAAGAAUCGAGAAGAAACUCGAAAACCUAGAAGAUCAAAUGCAAGAAAAUUACUCAGGAAACAGAGAGAAAUAGCAACGAAAAUAGCGACGAUGAGAAGAAGAAGUGAAGAACAGCACCUUGAGGGGUUCGAUACGGUGGCGGUGACGGUGGUGGAGUAGAGGUAAUAUCCAGAGGGAGAAACAUUUUCCGAGCGAGAAGUUUUCUCGGGAAACAGAGAGAAAAUGGGAGAGAAAAUGGAAAAGGCUUGCAGAGGAAGUUACAGAGAAAGUGAGAGACUGUGAGUGUUUCUAUUUGUAGAAUUUUGAUGGCAACGCGACGCAUUUAUUUACUCUCAGCUAGCAUAGCACACUGACACUAGUUGCUACAGGCUCACGUAUUUAGCAUGGCACAGAUUAAAAUAUUAAAUAUUUUUAUUUCUAUUUUUGUGUUUAGUUUGAUACUCUGAUUCAGCUUUUUAAUAAAGUGUGAUAUUCUCAUACCAUUGCCUAGUUAAACUAUUUUUGAAUAGUGUUGAUAUGGAUUUUUAGCUAUUUGUUUUUUUAGCCCUCUCAAAAUUUGUUUAUUUAAGUAAAGUACAUUUUAUGCUAAAAGACAUGUAAUGAUACCGAUUUAGAUUUGGUAAUAGUUUUUUGUGUUUCAUUUCAACAAGUUCAGCUACUUAAUGUAUGAUUUUGGAGGAAAAGUUUUGUUUACACUAAUGUGGAAAUAGAGGGGAGAGAAAGGAAAAAAGAGAGAAAUUUAUUCAUUUUUUGUUACGGGAAAUUGGGAGAGUAAAAGAGGGUAAGAAAAAACAGUGACUCUUUUUCAGUGGUCUGUCUAAUUUGAAGAUAAAGUCUAUAUUUUGUUUUUUUUUUUACGGUCAGAUAAAGUUAAUUUGAAGAUAAAGUGAGACCGUGUGUGAUUUUU
rnacentral:lncRNA from 1 species